GGACUACAAGGGUAUCUAAUCCUGUUUGCUCCCCUAGCUUUCGCAGCUGAGUGUCAGUAAUAGUCCAGGUACCUGCUUUCGCCAUUGGUGUUCCUCCCGAUCUCUGCGCAUUUCACCGCUACACCGGGAAUUCCAGUACCCUCUCCUAUACUCAAGCCCGGUAGUUUCUGUUGACCUCUCCCAGUUAAGCCGGGAGAUUUCACAACAGACUUACCGAACCACCUACCUGCCCUUUACGCCUAGUAAUUCCGAGUAACGCUUGCCACCUUCGUAUUACCGCGGCGGCUGGCAC
rnacentral:rRNA from 1 species